ensembl:lncRNA
CCGCCGCAUUGUUGUGUUCCCAAAUGUAUGUCUUCAAAGAGAAAGAAAUCCUAUACAGGUCAAACCUUCCAUCGUUUCCCCAAAGAUCAUGUACUUUGCCGUGAAUGGAUUCAUAAAAUAAGAAGAGAUCCCGGUCGCCAUUUCAAGAAAAAAAGCUGUGAUCGUCGGUGCAUUACCUUCCACGUCGUGCACAUAUCCCUCGAUCCAGUUGCUGUAUCCUUUCAGCAAAACAGCCCGGGGAAUCAUGCAGUCUUUAUUGGCCCAUUUUUCGACAUAGUCCACUGUUAUUUCAGGAAGACAUGAAAGAUUUGAUGUCCACACAGGUAUCGCCAUGAUGACAGACGCCCGCUGCUGCGCUCUGUCAAUGAACUUCCGGUUUAAAGUGUACCCCCUAGCCUCGUUUUGGAUUUCAAGAUGGAGGUGUGGUGAAUAAGUUCAAUGGAUCCUCGUUGCUCAACAGGUUGAAGGUCGCUUGGAAAGUUACUGGGAUGAGAAUGUUGUGUUUUUAUUGUAAAAAUGGGUUACUAUACUAAACAAAUAGCCUUUAAAACAUUACAGAUGUACAUCAAACAGUGGAAUAAUGUUUUAUACAGAUUUGAAGUAGAGGGACACUUGGAAACUGCUCUUGACACCACUUACUAAACUUGCUACCCAGAUCUAGUACUUAUAUCUAUCAAUCCCCGAUUUCUUUCUGGUAAUGUUGACAUGUUUAGGUAACCAUAGGAUGUGUGUAUAGCUUAGAAUAUCAAUAUUUGAGUUUUAGCCUGUCCAUGAAAGAAUACAAAGAGUAAAAACUGUUUCUUUUUGUUGUGUGUUCUAGCUUCUGCCUGAAAACCUUUCUUCCAAUCUACAUUCUGCUGAAUUCCUCAAUCUCCCAUGUGUAUUUUAUACAGUAUACCUUCACUGUGCAUGUCCUGACAACAUAUGUGCACAUAAAUUGCAGUUAUAAUGGGCAAGUGCAGUAUAGGCGAAAUUCUCAAUUUCUUCAUUUACAUUCAAGGGGGCAUCGACAUGAAAAUACUGGCAUUAUCAACAUUUUAUAAACUUUUGCUGUAUUGUGUUUGUGUAUUACAUUUGUGUUUAAUGUAGGCUCCUACUUAAUAAAGUUAAAGACAAACUCAAAACGAGUGCUUGUCAUUUCCAGUGAUGGCCAAACAAGGCUUCAUUAGCAUUAUUUUAG